GCAGUGGUCAUUCAGUGGUAGAAUUCUAGCCUUCCUUGUGGGAAACCUGGGUUCAAUUCCCAACCAAGGCA
rnacentral:tRNA from 1 species